rnacentral:misc_RNA from 1 species
GAUGAAGAACGUAGCGAAAUGCGAUACGUAAUGUGAAUUGCAGAAUUCAGUGAAUCAUCGAGUCUUUGAACGCACAUUGCGCCCCCUGGUAUUCCGGGGGGCAUGCCUGUCCGAGCGUCAUUGCUGCCCUCAAGCACGGCUUGUGUGUUGGGCCUCCGUCCUCCUCCCGGGGGACGGGCCCGAAAGGCAGCGGCGGCACCGCGUCCGGUCCUCGAGCGUAUGGGGCUUCGUCACCCGCUCUUGUAGGCCCGGCCGGCGCUCGCCGACACAUCAAUCUUUUUUCCAGGUUGACCUCGGAUCAGGUAGGGAUACCCGCUGAACGUAAGCAUAUCAAUAAGCGGAGGA